UGUGUGAUUCUUACAGAGAAGUGAGGAACACUGAGCCUGAUACUCAUCCCAUGCAGCUGCAAAUUGGUGACAGCUCCACUGAAGUCAUUGGAGUUAUGCUGACAUAAAACCAAAGCAGGGGACAUCAGUAUCUGGCUUACUCUUACUUCAAAUGAAGAUUUAAUCAGAGCCUUCUAUGGAAAUUUUCUAAAGACAGGUGACUGUAUGAAGAGUUAAAACUCCCACCAGUAUGGCUCUUAGGGUCAUUGAAGCACACAAGCCUUCCCACCAUGCCAAGGAGCAGUCUCCAGGAUUCAAGGUUCCAAUUAAAACCCUGUUUGGGCCAUUGCUUUGCCUUCCAGUUCUUAAUCUUUCCCGAAAGCCUCAUCAUUUAUCUAAAACAAAAGAAGAAUGAGCAUUUGGAAAUGCAGCGUUUUACUGCAAUUUCCCAGAUAUGAACAAGGCACCAACGGCAGAGAAUAAAGAAGCGGAAGGUACUCACAUAUCAGAAAUGAAUACACCAAAAGUAUACAAAUUGCCCUUUUAAAGCAGCUGUCUCAUCUUGCAUUAGGAAACCAGCCACACUCGAUGAUCUGCUUCUUUCUCACUCAAUACAGUAGUUUAAAGUAUCUAGGUUGCAUUAAAACUUUUCCAAUUAUCUUAUGUCGCCAAAAGAAUUUAUAAAGAUCCCUCAGCCUGUGAAAUUUUUCCUUAAGGAUCUGUUCAACUGAACCCUGCACAUAUAAAAAACAUGUUUUCCAGCAAUAUAGUUGUAUCCAAAUGUAUUAUGAGUUAGUGAUGGACAAACAUCAAAGAUUUUAAUAUUUCUGUUGGAUUUAAAAAAGAAUCCAGAACUCUAGUUGUUGCUCUACAGUGUAUACAAACCAAUAUAACCAAAUUUUCAGUGGAUCUCCUUAAUUGUGUGUGUCAUUUGCAGACGCAUCUAUUUGUGUACAGGCAAUCAGAUACUUGUGGAAGCUAAUCAGGUAAUUUUGUGCCUAAGUACCUGAUUUAUGCACAAACACAUCUUCUUGUACCCAUAAAUAUUUUGAGCAUGUAAAAAAGAGCAAAGAGAAUUGGUGAUUUAAGUCUGCAAGAUUGGGCUUGAAAGCAGGCUUUCUCAUAAGGUUUUUAAGAACUUUUGCUCCUGUUCAUGGUCACAAAUACUGCCAAAGCAGCCUUUCCAACAUUAAUUUGGCAUUUAUAUCUGUAGUUGCAGAUGGGGGAAAUUAAAACUUACCUGAAUGUUCCAGGAGAAGAAAAAUUAGUUCCACUCAAGUUUACGGUUGUAAAUAGGGAAAUAGAUGCAUCAGGCCCUUGUUUCUCCCAUACAUGCUUCCCCACAGCAAUUCAGUAACUAUAAAGGGAAUUUUUCAAAGUCAAAAGGACAUUUAGGUGCCAUACUCCCUUUUGAACCUUAAGCUACUUCCCAUGAUGUAUAUUAUUCUUACUACCCCAUUCAGUUCUAACUUCCCUCAAUGGAAAUUUUAUAUCCUUCGUUAUUUGUUUCCACUGCUGCCCACAAAGUGCCAAGGCUGUGCAAAGGGGAAAGAAGGCAUGGUCUCUGCCUGAAGGAACUUACAAUCUUAGAAACAAAAGCAGAAGAUAUGUUUUUCAAAGCACUCUGUAGUCCACAGUAAAUUUGAAUGCUAACCAAAUGAUAUGAUUUCAAAUAUAAGAGAACUCAGUCAGUUACGUGAGGUAGCUUGGACCCAAUAAAAGUGACACAGGUCCUUCAGCUCAUUCAUAUUUUAUGUUUGCUCUCUCUCUCCCCCCCCUUCCCCAAACAAUUUCUAGACAUUUCAGUACAGUACAUAGAUGUAUA